UGGGGAAUCUUGCGCAAUGGGCGAAAGCCUGACGCAGCGACGCCGCGUGAGUGAUGAAGGCCUUCGGGUUGUAAAGCUCUGUGGGGAGAGAAGAAUAAGGGCGACCUAAUACGUCGUUUGAUGACGGUAUCUCCUUAGCAAGCACCGGCUAACUCUGUGCCAGCAGCCGCGGUAAGACAGAGGGUGCAAACGUUGUUCGGAAUUACUGGGCGUAAAGCGAGUGUAGGCGGUCUCAUAAGUCGGAUGUGAAAGCCCUGGGCUCAACCCAGGAAGUGCACUCGAUACUGUGAGGCUAGAGUAUCGGAGAGGUUGGUGGAAUUCUCGGUGUAGAGGUGAAAUUCAUAGAUAUCGAGAGGAACAUCGGUGGCGAAGGCGGCCAACUGGACGAAUACUGACGCUG
rnacentral:rRNA from 1 species